GACGAACGCUGGCGGCGUGCUUAACACAUGCAAGUCGAGCGGAAAGGCUCCUUCGGGGGUACUCGAGCGGCGAACGGGUGAGUAACACGUGAGUAAUCUGCCCUUGGCUUCGGGAUAACUACCGGAAACGGUGGCUAAUACCGGAUAUGACCACUCCUUGCAUGAGGUGGUGGUGGAAAGUUUUUUCGGCCAGGGAUGUGCUCGCGGCCUAUCAGCUUGUUGGUGGGUAAUGGCCUACCAAGGCUUCGACGGGUAGCCGGCCUGAGAGGGUGACCGGCCACACUGGGACUGAGACACGGCCCAGACUCCUACGGGAGGCAGCAGUGGGGAAUAUUGGACAAUGGGCGGAAGCCUGAUCCAGCAACGCCGCGUGAGGGAUGAC
rnacentral:rRNA from 1 species